UGAAAUCACCAUCAUGAUCUCUUGCUAAUCCGGUUUUCUUGAAUUUAUAAACAUGAAGUAGAUAACUCUAUGUUGUCUUUCGAAAGACCAAGAAUAAGGUGAAGGAAUUACAGCACGGUUGUCUGUAGCCACUCCAGAUAUGACAAACAUUAGGUAGAACGUGAUUAUAAAUUCCAUAACAAAAGACUGCAAGUCGGAGCCGGUCGGAAGUGUUCCGGCAAAGUGAUCGUGUUUUCCCAUGAACAGUAAUCUCAGGGUACCGCUUGCUAGCGUGGCUCCGAUCACUUGUGCCGCAAUAUAUGCCGGUACCUAUCAGGAUGAGCACGAAGAAAUCAAGAGCACGUUCGUUCAAUGCAUAUAAUUCUGUUGAAUAUACCAUCUUCACCUGUCUAAGUGGGAACCUCUUGCAGGUGGCAAAAGCAAUGGUCACAGCCGGAUUAAAAUGAGCACCGGAAAUAUGGCCAACUGAGUAAACCAUAGCCAUGACGACAAGUCCCCACACUAUUGCGAUUCCCGGCUGGGUUAUCACCUCCUCCUUAUCGGCGUUCACCACCACUGCGGCACAACCGGCAAAAAUCAAGAAGUAGGUACCAAAACCCUCUGCAAUUACCUACAUAUAUUUUGAGAUAAUCAGCUAUCAGAUUGUUAUAAUUAAUUACGAGUAGCAGUUAGUUAUACAACCUACUAGCUAGCAUUUAUUAAGAAGGCAUCGAUUUCUUCAUCGUCUUCAAGAUAAAAAAAAAACAUAUCAUUGUCAAAAUGAUGUCAUUUGUCUUAACCCCUUUCAAAUUAUGAAAUCACCAUCAUGAUCUCUUGCUAAUCCGGUUUUCUUGAAUUUAUAAACAUGAAGUAGAUAACUCUAUGUUGUCUUUCGAAAGACCAAGAAUAAGGUGAAGGAAUUACAGCACGGUUGUCUGUAGCCACUCCAGAUAUGACAAACAUUAGGUAGAACGUGAUUAUAAAUUCCAUAACAAAAGACUGCAAGUCGGAGCCGGUCGGAAGUGUUCCGGCAAAGUGAUCGUGUUUUCCCAUGAACAGUAAU
rnacentral:lncRNA from 1 species